CUAUCACUUGAGUAUAGCAGAGGAAGAUCAACAGUGGUGGCCAAGCCACCUUUCAGCUGUGUUUUUCCCAUUGAAGAGUCCUGGAUAAGCAUCCAAAGAAUCCAGAGUUCUGUUGGUAUUUCAUUUUUAGCUCUAUAACUCCAGUAUCUUAUUUUUAGCUCUAUUAGAUGGUCAAUAUUAUGCAAUAGUAUUGACAUGGAAUGAGAGAGUCAUUACUUUAAAAGGUGGCCCUUUGAAGGUCUGCUGCAGGGACUGGAUUUGAGAGUCCGCAAAGAAGGCUUUCAGCUGGGACAUGCAAGGAAAGGAACAGGUGUUCCUGAAAAUGCAGGCUUCCUUUGGAUGUGUCCAAAACAAUGAUAAUACAAAAGGCACCUGCGGACAUCCAAGGAGUGGAGUGACAUUUCCAAUCUGCUUGAAGGAUUUUGAAAAAAGGUGUGACUUCUUCCAGUUGACUUGGACUCCGAGAUCUGCGAGCAGAGUCAAGACAUAGUGGAUCUGUGAAAGUAACCUUUCUCUGUCUUGACCAACCAGAAGACAAUUGGCUAGAGAAGGAAAUACUAUCAUACCCCGAGUGUGCAGGUAUGAAAUGAUUACCGCCAUGCACUUCAUAAAAACCCUUGGUGCGUUGGAUAACCCAAAGGGUAAUACUUUGUACUGGUAUACUGAGUCUCCCACCAUGAACCAAAGAUACUUCUAAUGACUUUUUUGAAUCCCAGUAUGGAAAUAUGCAUUCUUCAGGUCCAAUGUUGCAAGCCACUCCUCUUUGGCAAGGAGUAGAAGAAUGCCCUGCAAUGUUAUCAUUCAAAACUUGUGCAUAUCUAUGUACUGAUUCAGGCUUCAUAGAUCCAUAAUCAUCUGGAUUCCCCCAUCGUGCCUGGGUAUCUGAAAAUAGUGAGAGUAGAAUCCUGUCAUUCUGUCUGUCCAUUGAACCAGGGCAAUUCCCCCUGCACCAAAAGAGCCUGUACUUCCUCCGACAGCAAAGAUGGAGAAGCGUGUUUUAUGCCCGAGAACUUUGGCAAAGUUAUGAAUCUAUUGCAUAACCAGUGGUGAUAAUCCUGAGUGCCCACUGGUCAGAUGUUAUGUAUCGCCAUGCCAAAUCAUACCAUGCCAGUUUGAUGGUCUUGGCAAUUGCAGAGCUGCUGGAAUUCAUUCUGAGAGGCUGUGGAGAUGGUAGCAGUGGACUUUCCAGUUGAUCAAAGAGACUGCUUUGCAGAAUUUUUGUUGGGUCUUUUGUUCUGGUUCUUAGAUUUUGUGCCAAAAUUUCUAUGUUGGUAAGGCUUGUAUUGUUUUCUGAAAUCCUUUCAUUCUUGAUUCUUAAAUGUGGUGUGUAGUCACCCAUAAGGACGGAAGCGUGAUGAUGCUUGAGUUAUGGUUGUUGCAGUUGAAAAGCUCUUUGCAGUGUGUUUUGACUUUUAAAAUGACUCCAUAGUGGAAUCUGUUGUUUCACUGAACAAGCCCUUGCCGUCCAACGGCAGGCUCUCUUCUCUGUCCUUCAUACCCUCAUGGAGGCUUGUUGAUCUCAACCGUGUAUGCCUUCUGAUAGUGACAGCAGUACCCAUAGCACGUGAUUCUAACUCUGCAAGAUGUUUAAUGUGCUUAACUGUUGUCUGGUUACCACUUCUGGUUUUUGAAGAACCUCAUUAUAUCGCUUCAUUAAAUCUUCAGGAAAAAGUGUUUCAGCCUCUCUCUGCAAAGUGUCUCACAUACAAUGGUUAUAUCUUACCAUGCAGGCUACAUAAUUUGCCAUUCAUAUAGAAAGGCUGGCAGUUGUCUAGAUCUUAUGGCUAAGGACAUCCAUUUUCCUGCCUUCCUUAUCUGAUGGAGUCGUAUGUCUGCGGCCUGAUUUUCAGGCAUCAGCACAAUCUAUAACUAGGGAGUAAGGAGUAGGGUGUUUCAAGAAGUAUGCCGUAUCUCCUUCUUGAACUCUGUACAGCCCUUCUAAAUGCUUUGAUGUAGGAGUGGAGCUCUGUAGUACCUCCCAUGCAGACUGUGCCGCUUUUGUUACAGUGCUAUGCUUUCGCAUAGGCAGCACCACAGGCUGUGAGAAUUGGCCACGGACAUCAUAUUCUAAACUAGAUUUUCUAAAUCAGUAACUGGUUUGUUGAUCUCAAGGCCCAAGACCUCAGCCAUCUCAAUCAACUGUAAAUUGUACGCUUUGAGCUCCUCAUUCGGGGAUGUGGAGGGCUUAGGUGGUACAUCGGAAGGUGGAUCAGGAGGGUCUUCUGGAACAUUAGAGUUUCCAUCAGAAUCUGUUGUGCCAUCCAGUCUGGCUCUGAGCCCCAGGAGGUAAAUCACCCUGAGGAGGAUGUACACAGAUAGCACAGUAGUCAGAGGAUUUACAGGCAACAUCAUAGUUGAGGUUUUCACUGUUAUCUCAUGCUGGGUAGUUGGCAACACAGUAGCAGGCAAAGUUUGUUGUAGGUGCACCACAGUUUGUGUGGGCACUGAAGGCAUUUGAAAGAUUGGUGUAGUAGUCUGUGCCAUAUGUGGGACAUUCAAUGCUGAACUAUGUGGUUGCAGUAGAAUAUUAUAUUGAUUUGGCACAGGCUGGAAGGCCUGUCCCAAAGGAGGUCACCGUUGUAGAAGAAGCAGGUUGGUCCUUAAGCUGAGCCUUCCACAAUUGAUAGUCAUUAUAAUCAUAAGCAAUGGCAGGUGAUAGAGUACGCCUAAAUCUGCAGCCAUGGACUAGCUCUCUGAGGCAAAAAUCCGUGUCUGAACCAAAGAAGGGUUCUGCGCAGAUUGAGAUGAAAUCGUAGUGAAUCCUGAAGCUGUAGUAGCAGCGAUAGGUAUAACAGUGUACUUAGCUGUUCCAUUGGUUUGUGGCUUAUUGGCACUGAAGCCAACUGGUGACAUCAUAAGUGUUUUGGGGACAGGCAAUGACAAUUCCUUGAUGUCAGGGUCGACAUCACUUCCCCGACUGAGAAAUCCAUGAAAUGUCAAACCUGAAAGGCUGUUGUUUGAUGAAUCUAGAACAGACAAUAAAGUCUUUGCUGUGGUUGGGUCCAAUGAUGCCUCAUCCCCAAAAUUCAUCAAAGAUGAUUGAAGGAGACCUUAUUGGAGUAUGUAGAGGUUACAGCAAAUGAGCUCUUUGAGGCGUCGGUACGUUGCUAAUGGAGAGCAUGGCAGUCUUCGUGAUAUCGAGUAACUUCUGAUGUCCUUCAAUGUCAAUGCUGAAUGUCCGUUUCUCAGAUUUGUGUCAAUGCUUUUUGGCUGGCACUGGAGAGUCCAGUUUAGAGGCUCUCUUUUUAGCCUUGUGGUACUUCCCACGGCCCUUCUUCAGAUCCUUUGAUAAACCCUUUGGGCGCAUAAAGAUCUCUUCCAACUCCGAAGUGGAAGUUGAUGGCAAAGGCAAGGUUUUUAGACUGCGCGUGCCCAGAUCCUGCCUGCAAGGCCUUCCGCAUCAAUGUCGAGCUCAAUGCCGAGACUGGCUGCAGAGUCAGUGGGAAAAAGGCCUCAUCAUAAAUUGCCAUGCAGAGGCGCAAAGUGCGAUUCUUCAAAGUUUGCUUUGAAAAUGAGCUACAGAUUUUACAAGCUGUUGAGCUACGCUGUUCUCCAAGGCAAAGUAAACAAGAAUCACGGCCAUCUGUAGAGGGAAGGUUAGCCCUGUAUUUCAAGCACUGUUUGAAGGUUGUUCUCUUCUUCAUUUUCUUCUCAAUUAAAAAAAGAAAAAGGAUAGAAACAGAAAAGCCGAUGUCCAACCAUGCAAAGAAUAGUAAUAGGCAGUCCAAAGUCAAUACACAGUAAUGUAUUGGGGCAAGAGAGUGUGCAUGAGGCUCGGGGCAAUCACCCCACUCCAAGGGCCUGCAUGGCAAUCUAGUCAAGACUAUGAAGAAAAAGAACAGGAGAUGUGCAGGCAUGCCAAUAUAGACUGCUGCCAAAAGGGAGGUUUUGAGGAUCAGCACAUCCUCCCAGGGAGGAGACAUACUAGAACAGUGCUUGCAUUUUAUUUUAUUACUGGUAGAAUGACAGCAAAGGGUGCUUCAUUGCACCAUAGAUGAUGUUGGCAAGAACAUAGCCAGAAGCACACACUGCCUCUCCUCCACACAUAUUGGCUCCAGCCCUCUUCCCCAAGAAUAUUUGGGAGAUAUGCACUUUGGGCACAUGAUUUGCUAAGGCCGAAGAUUAGCUUCCCUCACUACUCUCCGAAAAACAUGGAUGAAUGUCCAUAGUUCAGUGCUUAAAUUGUUCCAGAUGAAAAAAGAAAAAAUCAGAGCUGAUGAAUAGAAGACAUCUGAAAGGAAUGGUUGGACUUGGAAAUCUCCAAACUAGUUUACAGAUUGGACUGGGGGGGAUUUGCUCAUGGAAGCAUCCAAUAAUGCAAGCAAGCACCAUUCCAUUUCCAGAAAAUAGGGUCUUCCAAAGGUGACAGGCCAGCACAUAAAUGAGGCGGCCUUCACUGCUAAUCCUGAGAUUGCAGUGAAGGUUCACUCAAGACAAUCAAACUUCCCAUUAGUUUAAUAGCUCUAUAUUUACAUCCAAGACAUGCAAUGAUAACUCACUGUUGGAGGCUCAUUUGGAGGGGGUUGCAGUUCAGGCAAAGAUCAGAGUCCAGCACAUGAAUUCUUGAAGGUUAUGGAUUGUGGGAAGUUGAUUGUUAAGUGAAAGAAUCUGUGGCUUUGCUAACCAUGAAACCAGAGUGAGCAGUCAAAAUCUCCUUGGACACAUUAAUAACACAGAUACAUCAGUAUGGGUUAGUUUCUGGUUAUAAGAUUAACAGAGAAAAAACUCAGAUUAUGACAUGGAAUCUUUCUGAAGAGGAAAUAGAAUAUUUCUCUAAAGUUUUAAGAUUACAAGUAAUGAAGAAGCCAAUAAAAUAUUUAGGGAUUAAUCUUACAAGGAGCAAUAAAGAUUUGUUUAAAAAUAAUUAUGUUCCAAUUUGGAAAUCAACCACGGCUGACUUGGACAGAUGGAAGAAACUGACUCUGUCUUAGCUUGGAAAGAUCUCGGCGGUAAAAAUGAAUAUAUUGCCUAAGAUGAAUUUUCUCUUUCAAAUGAUCCCAAUAAAGAUAGACGAUAAGACAUUAAAUAAAUGGCAGAGUCAGCUCAAUUCAUUUAUUUGGAAUUAUAAAAACCCUAGAAUACGAUUUAAGGUGAUGCAAGGUUCUAAAGAAAGAGGGGGUCUUGGAGUUCCUAAUUUGAAACUUUAUUAUCACACCAGUAGUUUGACUUGGAUUUCAAAUUGGAGUUUAUUUCCUUAUGAUAGUCUCACCCGAGUGGAGAACUUUGGCCUUACUAGAGGAUUACAUAAUUAUUUGUGGAUUUCCGGUUCGAGAAAAGAUAUGGAUAUUCAACAUCAUUCGAUUCGACACAGUCUUCUUUAUGUUUGGGAUAAAUAUCAGAAAAGAAUAAAUCCUAGAUUAUCACCUCUGGCUUCAAUUUUAAACCUUACUUUCAUGAAGAAGAAUUUUCUCCUGCGUAUAAAAUUUGGAGAGACAAUUUAUAUUCUUUGCAAAGUCUGGCCCAAUAUUUAACUUCUGAUAAAUCAACUUCUGGACAUUUAAUUCAACAACCAUCUUGGUUCCAAUAAGCCCGGAUUAGUUCGAUAGUCUGGAAGGAUCUACGGUUACAAGGUGGGAAAUUUAGAGAUCUGACUGACUUUGAAGAAUUAAUCAACCUACAUACUGAUCAUUUGUUAGGAAGAAUUUACAAAUUGUUGCUGAAGUAUGAGACAGAGAGAGAGCAGAUUAAAGAAUGCAUGAUUAAAUGGAUGCAGAACUUCAACAGAUCGAUCGAUAUUUCUGACUGGGAAUACCAAUGGGGAAAGAAUAUUAAAUUUACUCUGUGCACCAAUUUACGAGAAAAUUGGUACAAAGUGUUUUUCAGGUGGUACAAAAUAGAUGGCUCCUUCUCUAAGAGAUGCUGGAAAUGUAAUUCACAUUUAGGCUCAUUUUAUCAUGUGUGGUGGACCUGUGAUAAAGCUCAAAAGUUUUGGAAAUAAAUUCAUAUGAAAAUUGAACAAAUUCUAGAGGUUAAGAUUCCCUUUCUUCCAGAAAUUUUCCUUUUAAGUAUGAUGAAAUCUUAAAUCCCUGCUAAAUUAAAUGAGUUGUUUUUGUAUAUGAUUACUGUGGCUACGAUCAUAUAUGCUGCUAAUUGGCGUGUUUCAGAAAUUCCCUCUUUAAAUGAAUGAUUCCUGAAAGUGUGGGAUUAUGCUUCAAUUUCAAAAGUCUCAGCUUAUGUGCAUGGCGUAUUCACUGAGUCAUUCAUGUCUGUUUUGGAACCUUUUAUAAAUUACAAUAUCCGUAAGGUCAAACUUUGCUCCCAUUUUCUGGAUUUGACUUAUAGUGUUUUUGAGAUGUUUAAGAGUCUGAAAUUUCUUUUUCUUGUUAUUUUGUUUUUGAUGUCUUUUCUGAUCUUUACUGAUGUAAUUAAUUAAAAAAAAUGUUUCUCAUUA